rnacentral:rRNA from 1 species
UCGGGAAUUUUGCCCAAUGGACGAAAGUCUGAGGCAGCAACUCCGCGUGAGGGAUGAAGGCCUUCGGGUCGUAACCUCUUUUCCCUAGGGAAGAUCCAAGACGGUACCUGGGGAAUAAGCCACGGCUAACUACGUGCCAGCAGCCGCGGUAAUACGUAGGUGGCAAGCGUUGUCCGGAUUUACUGGGCGUAAAGCGCGCGCAGGCGGCUGGCCAAGUCCGAUGUGAAAGCUUCCGGCUUAACUGGAAAACGGCAUCGGAUACUGGUCGGCUGGAAGGUGGGAGAGGGUAGCGGAAUUCCCGGUGUAGUGGUGAAAUGCGUAGAUAUCGGGAGGAACACCAGUGGCGGAAAGCGGCUACCUGGCCCACUCUUGACGCUGAGGCGCGAAAGCUAGGGGAGCAAACGGGAUUAGAUACCCCGGUAGUCCUAGCCGUAAACGAUGAACACUAGGCGUUGUCGGGUAUCGACCCCGGCAGUGCCGAAGCUAACGCAUUAAGUGUUCCGCCUGGGGGAGUACGGCCGCAAGGCUAAAAC